UCAUUGGUUCACAAGCUACACUUGGGUGGU
rnacentral:piRNA from 1 species